rnacentral:rRNA from 1 species
GACGAACGCUGGCGGCGUGCUUAACACAUGCAAGUCGAACGGUAAGGCCCUUCGGGGUACACGAGUGGCGAACGGGUGAGUAACACGUGGGUGAUCUGCCCUGCACUUCGGGAUAAGCCUGGGAAACUGGGUUUAAUACCGGAUAGGACCACUGCCUGCAUGGGUGGUGGUGGAAAGCUUUUGCGGUGUGGGAUGGGCCCGCGGCCUAUCAGCUUGUUGGUGGGGUGAUGGCCCACCAAGGCGACGACGGGUAGCCGGCCUGAGAGGGUGACCGGCCACACUGGGACUGAGAGACGGCCCAGACUCCUACGGGAGGCAGCAUUGGGGAAUAUUGCACAAUGGGCGCAAGCCUGUUGCAGCGACGCCGCGUGAGGGAUGACGGCCUUCGGGUUGUAAACCUCUUUCAGCACCGACGAAGCGCAAGUGACGGUAGGUGCAGAAGAAGGACCGGCCAACUACGUGCCAGCCGCCGCCGUAA